rnacentral:rRNA from 1 species
AUUGAACGCUGGCGGCAUGCCUUACACAUGCAAGUCGAACGGCAGCACGGGUGCUUGCACCUGGUGGCGAGUGGCGAACGGGUGAGUAAUAUAUCGGAACGUACCUUAUUGUGGGGGAUAACGCAGCGAAAGCUGUGCUAAUACCGCAUAAUCCCUAAGGGGGAAAGCGGGGGACCGUAAGGCCUCGCGCAAUUAGAGCGGCCGAUACCUGAUUAGCUAGUUGGUGAGGUAAAGGCUCACCAAGGCAACGAUCAGUAGCUGGUCUGAGAGGACGAUCAGCCACACUGGGACUGAGACACGGCCCAGACUCCUACGGGAGGCAGCAGUGGGGAAUUUUGGACAAUGGGGGCAACCCUGAUCCAGCAAUGCCGCGUGAGUGAAGAAGGCCUUCGGGUUGUAAAGCUCUUUUGUCAGGGAAGAAACAGCAGCUCUAACACAGUUUGCGAAUGACGGUACCUGAAGAAUAAGCACCGGCUAACUACGUGCCAGCCGCCGCCGUAA